GUACACACCGCCCGUCGCUAUUACCGAUUGAGUGUUAAGGUGAACCUUCUCGAUAGAGCAAUCUAAAAAUUAAGUAAACCUUGACACUUAGAGGGAAUAAAAGUCGUAACAAGGUWUCCGUAGGUGAACCUKGCAGAAGGAUCA
rnacentral:rRNA from 1 species